AAAGGUGUAGCUCAAUGGUUGAGCACAUGCUUAACAUGCAUGAGGUCCUGAGUUCAAUCCCAGAUACCUCCA
rnacentral:tRNA from 1 species